rnacentral:rRNA from 1 species
GACGAACGCUGGCGGCGUGCUUAACACAUGCAAGUCGGACGGUAAGGCCCUUCGGGGUACACGAGUGGCGAACGGGUGAGUAACACGUGGGUGAUCUGCCCUGCACUUCGGGAUAAGCCUGGGAAACUGGGUCUAAUACCGGAUAGGACCACUGCCUGCAUGGGUGGUGGAGGAAAGCUUUUGCGGUGUGGGAUGGGCCCGCGGCCUAUCAGCUUGUUGGUGGGGUGAUGGCCUACCAAGGCGACGACGGGUAGCCGGCCUGAGAGGGUGACCGGCCACACUGGGACUGAGAUACGGCCCAGACUCCUACGGGAGGCAGCAGUGGGGAAUAUUGCACAAUGGGCGCAAGCCUGAUGCAGCGACGCCGCGUGAGGGAUGACGGCCUUCGGGUUGUAAACCUCUUUCAGCACCGACGAAGCGCAAGUGACGGUAGGUGCAGAAGAAGGACCGGCCAACUACGUGCCAGCCGCCGCGGUAA